rnacentral:rRNA from 1 species
UACGAGGGGGGCGAGCGUUGUUCGGAAUUAUUGGGCGUAAAGGGUGCGUAGGCGGUUCGGUAAGUUUCGUGUGAAAUCUUCGGGCUCAACUCGAAGCCUGCACGAGAUACUGCCGUGCUUGAGGACUGGAGAGGAGACUGGAAUUUACGGUGUAGCGGUGAAAUGCGUAGAUAUCGUAAGGAAGACCAGUGGCGAAGGCGGGUCUCUGGACAGUUCCUGACGCUGAGGCACGAAGGUCAGGGGAGCAAACGGG